CAGAAAUAAGUCAACUACACUAGCUUCAGUAACUCCUGCAUUCCUACUUGCUUCUCUCCACCGAAAGCUACUGAAUGGUGGCACGUUUAGAUCCAUAGCUACAAAUUGAAGGUCCACAACUUAAGGGUUAACCCCCAAGCAAUCUGUUGCUUGUUAUGGUUCUUGACUGCAUGUCAUUGGUGGCAGACAAGCAUAGAGAUGUUUUAUAGUACAGCUAUAAGGAAAACUGUGUGAAAGAACUCCAUGGAGUGCGGUAAGUACUGGUUAGGAUCUCCAGCAGCCCCAUGGAAUACAAGAGAGAGAGAGAGAUGAACAACUUGUUUACAUGACAUCAGAUCACGAAAUUACUAGUUCAAAUUAUGCUCUUAGAAGCAGAAAGUUCACAGGCUAUGUGUACGAGGACACAGGAUGCAAGAGAUACGUUGGCACCAUCGUGACUGGGGGGCAGUACAAGCAACAAAAUGCCAUCACAGCCUACCUAAACUGAGCCAUGGUGAGUGGAUGGAUAAGCAUGUUCACCUUGAGCAAGUGCAUGUGGCUGCAAAAAGGUGGCCAGGGAAAGAAGUGGAAGCAAUAGUGCGCCCAAGAGGGAGUCAAACCGAAAUCACUGGUUGAUACUCUGGUGCUGCUUACUGUUUACCUGCUUGUGCAGCUCUGCUCUCAUAUCCUUUUCAUCUUGGUGGUCUGGUUGGACCUGUUGCUUUAUAAAAUCAGGACCAAGAUUUCGAUAGUGUCAAUCUUAUCAUUCAGGCCAACUUAUAGACCAAGUUGACUUGCUAUCCAUGUCACUUGCUCUAUUGCCAUGCCAUUGAACAGUGCAUUAGGAUUAGAGACAAUAAUGUGUUUUUUCCAUGUAAUUGAUCUUGAUCUUGUUAAUGUUGUUAGUAUUUUUUUUUACUCCUUAAUAGGAAAGGGUUAUUCGGGGAACCGAGACAAGAAAUUCAAGUAUGAAAAGAAACUCUUAGAAAUUAAGGUUUGCUGCUCUAUGAAUGCGCCAGAUAUCUUUAAGGUCUUGAAAAGGCAAGGAGUGAUGUAGAACAAGGAACAUUUGAAAUAUUCAGCAUAUUUUUCUCUGAAAAA